rnacentral:rRNA from 1 species
UAUCUCUGUAGAGUCUGCAUAUCAAUAAGCGGAGGAAAAGAAACUAACUAGGAUUCCCUCAGUAACGGCGAGUGAAGCGGGAAGAGCUCAAAUUUGAAAUCUUCAAGGUUCUACCUGGACGAAUUGUAGUUUAAAGAAGUGUUUUCUGUUGGAGUUUUGGUAAAAGUUCUUUGGAAUAGGACAUCAUAGAGGGUGAGAAUCCCGUAUUUGACCAUUAUUUCCAACUUUGUGAUACACUUUCAAAGAGUCGGAUUGUUUGGGAAUGCAGUCCAAAAUGGGUGGUAAAUUUCAUCUAAAGCUAAAUACUGGCGAGAGACCGAUAGCGAACAAGUACCGUGAGGGAAAGAUGAAAAGAACUUUGAAAAGAGAGUUAAACAGUACGUGAAAUUGUCAAAAGGGAAGCGUUUGACACCAGUGUUGUUUUCUCGAAAAUCAAUUAAAAAAAGUUGGAUUUUGUAUUGUUAAGACCUUAUCAGCUUACUGUACUCUUUUCUUGCUUUUUUUAAUGCACUUUUCGUUUAACAAGUCAACAUCAAUUUCUUUUGUUGUAAAAGAGUCAUUGGAAGGUGGCUUUCACUUCGGUGAAAGUGUUUAUAGCCUUUGGCUUCUGCAAUCGGAGAGAUUGAGGUCUGCAGCGUAGAUCCUUCGGGGCUAGAUACGUAGAUGCUAAGUUAUAGUUUUUUAUAGACAACUUGUUGACUAUAAUUAAUCAUGUAGCUUACUCGUUUGCGCUAUUUUACCUACGCUUAGGAUGUUGAUGUGAUACUGCGAGCA